rnacentral:rRNA from 1 species
GACGAACGCUGGCGGCGUGCCUAAUACAUGCAAGUCGAGCGGACCGGAUCGGAGCUUGCUCUGGUUUGGUCAGCGGCGGACGGGUGAGUAACACGUGGGCAACCUGCCCGCAAGACCGGGAUAACUCCGGGAAACCGGAGCUAAUACCGGAUAACACCGAAGACCGCAUGGUCUUUGGUUGAAAGGCGGCCUUUGGCUGUCACUUGCGGAUGGGCCCGCGGCGCAUUAGCUAGUUGGUGAGGUAACGGCUCACCAAGGCGACGAUGCGUAGCCGGCCUGAGAGGGUGACCGGCCACACUGGGACUGAGACACGGCCCAGACUCCUACGGGAGGCAGCAGUAGGGAAUCUUCCGCAAUGGGCGAAGGCCUGACGGAGCGACGCCGCGUGAGCGAAGAAGGCCUUCGGGUCGUAAAGCUCUGUUGUGAGGGACGAAGGAGCGCCGUUUGAAUAAGGCGGCGCGGUGACGGUACCUCACGAGAAAGCCCCGGCUAACUACGUGCCAGCAGCCGCGGUAAUACGUAGGGGGCGAGCGUUGUCCGGAAUUAUUGGGCGUAGAGCGCGCGCAGGCGGUCCUUUAAGUCUGAUGUGAAAGCCCACGGCUCAACCGUGGAGGGUCAUUAGAAACUGGGGGACUUGAGUACAGGAGAGGAGAGCGGAAUUCCACGU